rnacentral:rRNA from 1 species
UACGAAGGGGGCUAGCGUUGCUCGGAAUGACCGGGCGUAAAGCGUGCGUAGACGGUUACAUAAGUCGGGUGUGAAAGCCCCGGGCUCAACCUGGGAAUUGCAUUCGAGACUGCGUAGCUAGGGUGCGGAAGAGGGAAGCGGAAUUUCCGGUGUAGCGGUGAAAUGCGUAGAUAUCGGAAGGAACACCAGUGGCGAAAGCGGCUUCCUGGUCCAGCACCGACGUUCAGGCACGAAAGCGUGGGGAGCAAACAGG